UUUGUAGGACGGUUCAGGGUCACAUUAUCCUAACUAAAGCCCCUCCUAAAACCCAAGCAAAGGACAAAGGAUAAGAGGAGUUAUUUAUAGCAAUUUCGAGUUGCCAAUUUCAGCAAUGGCUUCUGUAUUGUCAACUUCCUUGUAUCAAGAUAGAGGACUGAGAAUUGUAGCCUCUACUGAUGGAUUUGUGCCAACUAUUUGCUGCCCCUAUCGGAAGACCUUGUUUACAGGUACUACUCCUGUUUCAAUAUGGAAGCUCAAAUUUGUCUCCAGUAGUCCAUUUCAAAAGGCUCCUUUAGCUCCUUGUAUAAAGUGUGAGAACAAGGAAAAGAAUCAGGGCUCUUUUGAGCAGGUGUCUGUCGAGCGUUUUCCUUAUCACAGUUAUAUGGACUCCACUUCUGGGCAACUUGAACCAGCAUCUGGAGCUCGCGCUAGUAUUCCUGGGAAGGAGUACUGGCCAGAAGGCACAGCUAGUCGAGUUCAGGCCGCCAGGGCUCCUGAACCAGAUGGUAUUUCAACUGGAACUCCAUCUUAUGGAAAAGCUCCUGGAAGUAGAAGAAAGAAGUACAAGGCAUCUGCUUCCUCUUCCCAGCCUUCAGAAAUCAAUGUAAUUUCUGAUGAUCCUCUGGAGACUCCAGAUAGUGUACCAGAAGAGCCAAAGGAUCUUUCCUCAGAGUAUGUCAUUUAUCAGCCUGAACAAGAUGAAGAAGAGCUGACAGGCUAUGAGCUAGAUAAAAGACAUGGACGGCCCCACCCAUUUAUUGAUCCAAAGGUAAAGAAGGAAAUAGAGAAGCCGCUUACUAGUGAAGAAUUAUGGUGGAAUUGGAGAAAGCCUGAAAAGGAGCAAUGGUCUAGGUGGCAGAGGCGGCGCCCUGAUGUUGAAACGGUCUUUCUUAAAGCUAUGGCAGAGACAGGACAAGUAAAGCUCUAUGGUGAGCAUCCUACAUUGACAGAGACUGCGCUCUAUAGAGCAAGGAGACAUUUAUAUAAGGAGGAAAGGCUACAGGCUGAAAAAGAAAAAAUGGAAAAGAUUGGUCCUAUUGCAUACUACUCAGAGUGGGUCAAAGCUUGGAAAAGAGAUACUUCUCGAGAUGCCAUUCAAAAGCAUUUUGAAGAGACUGGUGAAGAUGAGAACACUCAACUCAUCGAAAUGUUCUCCCAUCAAACAGAUCGUGAAUACCGGAUAAUGAUGGGAACUGAUAUGCGUAUUCCUCGUGACCCGUUGGCCAUGAGAAUGCGGGAGGAUCAAAUAAAACAAAUUUGGGGUGGAGAUCCAGUUUACCCGACCAUUAAUUACAUUCAAGAUCCUGAUGAAGUGAUUGAUUUCAGGGGUCCAGACUUCCAUGAACCAACACCAAAUAUGUUGGCCUAUUUGAAAGAGCAUGGCAAAAUUAUAUCAAGAGAGGAGCUAGAGAAAAUUCUGGCGAAAGAGAAGACGGAAGAAAUUGAGGUGGCAGAAAUUGAUGAAGCUAUGGCAAGAGCUGUUGACAUUGGUGAAAAUGAUGAUGAAGAAGAAGGAAGUGAGGCUGAAGGUGAAGAGGAGGAUGAGAAAAUUACACGCAAUUGGAGUGUUUUGAAAAGUAAUCCCGAGCUUAGCAAAUCAAAGGGUAAACCCAAAAAGAAAGACAUGUCUCUGGAGGAAGCUGUAGACGAUUCUGAAAAUUUAACAGACUUCCUUAUGGACUUUGACGAGGAUGAGUGAGGCUAAUGGACGCCCCAGGCUAUCAAGGUGAGCUCCUUCGUCUGGAAAAUGGAAACAGAGGAUAAGCAAAUUAUUUUCAUCCCCAUCAACAAAGCUCUGUUGAUUACAGCACCAGCAUCUUCCCUAUGAUGGAGUCGAUGAACAUAUAUUGGAUGAUUGAUACGAUCUGGCAACAAGGCCAACUAACUUGGGAACGGUUUGUUGUUGAUGCUGCUGUGACUCUUAAGCAGCAUCUGCUGAAGAUCUUCACCCCAGAAGAGUAGAUUUUUUAUAGAAAGCUUUGGGUAUUAUUUUUGUGGAUGUAAUUGGAUUAUCUUGUAAAGCAAAUGAAAAAUGGAGAAUGCUAAUGUAGUAGCUUGUAUCCAGCACACAAUGUGAACUUUUGAAGACGCGGUUGGUAUACUAACCAGAAAUUAGAAGCA